rnacentral:rRNA from 1 species
AUACGUAGGGAGCGAGCGUUGUCCGGAAUUACUGGGUGUAAAGGGAGCGUAGGCGGGGCGACAAGUCAGGUGUGAAAUUUAUGGGCUUAACCCAUAACCUGCAUUUGAAACUGUCGUUCUUGAGUGAAGAAGAGGUUGGCGGAAUUCCUAGUGUAGCGGUGAAAUGCGUAGAUAUUAGGAGGAACACCAGUGGCGAAGGCGGCCAACUGGGCUUUUACUGACGCUGAGGCUCGAAAGCGUGGGGAGCAAACAGGAUUAGAUACCCUGGUAGUCCACGCUGUAAACGAUGAUUACUAGGUGUGGGGGGACUGACCCCUUCCGUGCCGGAGUUAACACAAUAAGUAAUCCACCUGGGGAGUACGGCCGCAAGGUUGAA